rnacentral:rRNA from 1 species
AUCAACUUUCGAUGGUAGGAUAGAGGCCUACCAUGGUGGUAACGGGUAACGGGGUGUUAGGGCACGACACCGGAGAGGGAGCCUGAGAAACGGCUACCACAUCCAAGGAUGGCAGCAGGCGCGCAAAUUACCCAAUCCCGACACGGGGAGGUAGUGACAAUAAAUAACAAUACGGGGUUCUUUCGGAUUUCGUAAUUGGAAUGAGUACAAUUUAAAUCUCUUAACGAGGAACAAUUGGAGGGCAAGUCUGGUGCCAGCAGCCGCGGUAAUUCUAGCUCCAAUAGCGUAUAUUAAAGUUGCUGCAGUUAAAAAGCUCGUAGUUGAAUUUCGGGACCAAUAUGUCGGUCGUGCCUCGGUACGUACUGGCAUCGUUGGUUUCUCCCUUCUGACGAACCAUGAUGUCAUUUAUUUGGUGUCGUGGGGAAUCAGGACUGUUACUUUGAAAAAAUUAGAGUGUUUAAAGCAGGCUCACGCUUGAAUACAUUAGCAUGGAAUAAUGAAAUAGGACGUUUGAUUCUAUUUUGUUGGUUUCUAGGAUCGACGUAAUGAUUAAUAGGGAUAGUUGGGGGCAUUAGUAUUCAAUUGUCAGAGGUGAAAUUCUUGGAUUUAUUGAAGACUAACUACUGCGAAAGCAUUUGCCAAGGAUGUUUUCAUUAAUCAAGAACGAAAGUUAGGGGAUCGAAGACGAUCAGAUACCGUCGUAGUCUUAACCAUAAACUAUGCCGACUAGGGAUCGGAUGAUGUUAAUUUUUUAAUGACUCAUUCGGCGCCUUACGGGAAACCAAAGUGUUUGGGUUC